GGCCACGUGGAAGGGUUUUGUGCAGGGAGCCACUGGCCCAGCUACUGGGCCAACCCGGGAAGAGCAGGGAGGCCGUGGGGAGUCAGUGGAGGAGAGGAACUGGACUGUGCACCCUUCAGAAUCCCCCUUUAAAGUGGAGAGCUGGGGACUGACGGUGUGCCUACAAUACGGUGUACCUGCGCUCAGUAAAGAUACCCGCUGUCAGUCCAUCCUCCCACAGUGCCGGCACCUACAAGUGGGGACUGCAGAGCGGGUUUGCCUGGGAAGAGGAAGCAUGAUGUGCAGAGUGGGCGGUGCAGCAGACGUGGGAAAAGCAAGAGAAGAAAAGGGAAAACAGCGCAGAAGGAAAGCCAUGGUCAUGCCGAUGAGUGCGCUGCCCCCUCUACCCGGCUUCAGGAGUCUGAUGACUUUUCUUUCACCCUCUAAGCCAAGAUAAUAGGAAAGCUAAAACGAAGGGCUUCAGGCUCAGGAAGAUCAGAGGCAGCAGUGCUGGAGCUGGCUCUGUAAAUUUUACUGACUGUUAGAUUUUCCGAAAAUUUGUGAGCUGGUUGAUGGGUUUGUAGCUGGAAGUCAGUCAUAGGUAGAGGGAAAAUUUACAACACAGAAAUCAGCUAAUGCCAAACCUCAGGACUCCUCCCCACCUUGACAGCAGGUGGGGGACGCUCGCCGCCGCUUCUGUGGGCCCCGCAGGACACUCGGCACUUCUGAGCAAGGUUUCUCGUCUGCAAAGAGGAAAAUGAUGUGCGAUGAUGGAAUUUGAAUGGGCAGCCGUUGGUGGAUGUUUGAGAACGCUUCCCUCGAGAAGCCUCACCGCGGAGCAUCCUUCAAUCAACCUCAGCCCGUGCUCACUUACCACCCUGACACCCCCAUUUCCGAGUCCACAUGGCACCUCCUGGAUGCCACGAAUGUUCCCGGGCAGUGCUGUGCCAGCACCUAUGAGAGCCUGGCCCGUGUUUGCUGGUGAUGUCCUGAAAGAGGCCCAGGUCCUCCAGGAACACGCAGGGCUGCAUAAAGCACACCUCCUCACAUUGUCUUAGAGACGAUGGGCUUUCUAAGUGUAAAGCACUCUGCAAACACACACGUCACCUCCUCACCUUCUCCGGCUGAGCACCUGCACCCCCUGGUCUCACCAAGUCCCGCCCCUCACUUCUACCCAAGCUCCACUCCAGGGAGAGGCACCUUCGGCCCACAGAGAGUGUUUCGUAAAUUAUUCAUCCAACAAACGUUUGGCUGUCUCUUCCAUGCCAGGCG
rnacentral:lncRNA from 10 species